CAAGAAACAACACUUCUGUAGCUUGUCAACUAUGUGUCUGUCUAUCCCUGUUCUCUCCCCUCUGCACAGGCCAUACAAACGCUUCACACCGCGUGGCCGCUGCCACUCUAACCUGGUGGUCCCAGCGCGCACGACCCACGUGGAGUUCCAGGUCUCCGGCAGCCUCUGGAACUGCAGGUUCCCUUGGAGAGUUCAUCAAUGAGCUUGACGCCUUGAUAAGUUCCUUUCCUGAGGAUGGCUCACCUCUCACAGUUCUGGAUGAAAUCUCGCGUCUUGUGACGGCCGGCCGCCCAACAACCUGCCCACUUGACCCUAUCCCCUCCUCUCUUCUCCAGACCAUUUCCGGAGACCUUCUCCCCUACCUCACCUCGCUCAUCAACUCAUCCUUGACCGCUGGCUACGUCCCUUCCGUCUUCAAGAGAGCGAGAGUUGCACCCCUUCUGAAAAAACCUACACUCGAUCCCUCCGAUGUCAACAACUACAGACCA
rnacentral:lncRNA from 1 species